rnacentral:rRNA from 1 species
CCCAGAUUCCUAAGGGAGGGCAGCAGUGGGGAAUUUGGAACAUGGGGCGCAGGCCUGAUCCAGCCAUGCCGCGUGUUUGAGAAGGCCCUUCGGGUUGUAAAGGACUUUUGUCAGGGAGAAAAAGGGCGGGGUUAAUACCCCUGUCUGAUGACGGUACCUUGAAAAAUAAGCACCGGCUAACUACGUGCCAGCAGCCGCGGUAAUACGUAGGGUGCGAGCGUUAAUCGGAAUUACUGGGCGUAAAGCGGGCGCAGACGGUUACUUAAGCAGGAUGUGAAAUCCCCGGGCUCAACCUGGGAACUGCGUUCUGAACUGGGUGACUAGAGUGUGUCAGAGGGAGGUAGAAUUCCACGUGUAGCAGUGAAAUGCGUAGAGAUGUGGAGGAAUACCGAUGGCGAAGGCAGCCUCCUGGGAUAACACUGACGUUCAUGCCCGAAAGCGUGGGUAGCAAACAGGAUUAGAUACCCUGGUAGUCCACGCCCUAAACGAUGUCGAUUAGCUGUUGGGCAGCAUGACUGCUUAGUAGCGAAGCUAACGCGUGAAAUCGACCGCCUGGGGAGUACGGUCGCAAGAUUAAAACUCAAAGGAAUUGACGGGGACCCGCACAAGCGGUGGAUGAUGUGGAUUAAUUCGAUGCAACGCGAAGAACCUUACCUGGUCUUGACAUGUACGGAACCCUCCAGAGACGGAGGGGUGCCUUCGGGAGCCGUAACACAGGUGCUGCAUGGCUGUCGUCAGCUCGUGUCGUGAGAUGUUGGGUUAAGUCCCGCAACGAGCGCAACCCUUGUCAUUAGUUGCCAUCAUUAAGUUGGGCACUCUAAUGAGACUGCCGGUGACAAGCCGGAGGAAGGUGGGGAUGACGUCAAGUCCUCAUGGCCCUUAUGACCAGGGCUUCACACGUCAUACAAUGGUCGGUACAGAGGGUAGCCAAGCCGCGAGGUGGAGCCAAUCUCACAAAACCGAUCGUAGUCCGGAUUGCACUCUGCAACUCGAGUGCAUGAAGUCGGAAUCGCUAGUAAUCGCAGGUCAGCAUACUGCGGUGAAUACGUUCCCGGGUCUUGUACACACCGCCCGUC